GAUUAACGCUGGCGGCGUGCAUAACACAUGCAAGUCGAACGAGUGGCGGACGGGUGAGUAACGCGUGAGUAACCUGCCUUGAGAAGGGGAUAGCCUUUGGAAACGGGGUCUAAUACCGAAUAAAGGGGGCUGGGCUCGCGGCCUAUCAGCUUGUUGGGGGGGUGAUGGCCUACGAAGGCGGUGACGGGUAGCCGGCGUGGGAGGGUGACCGGCCACAUUUGGACGGGGAUACGGCCCAGACUCCUAAGGGAGGCAGCAGUGGGGGAUAGUGCACAAUGGGCGGAAACCUGAGGCAGCGACGCCGCGUGGGGGAUGAAGGCUUUCGGGUUGUAAACCUCUGUCGCUAGCGAACGGGUAGGUGGAGAAGAAGCGCCGGCUAACUACGUGCCAGCAGCCGCGGUAAUUC
rnacentral:rRNA from 1 species